rnacentral:rRNA from 1 species
GGUAUUGUUGGUUUCUCCCUUCUGACGAACCAUGAUGUCAUUUAUUUGGUGUUGUGGGGAAUCAGGACUGUUACUUUGAAAAAAUUAGAGUGUUUAAAGCAGGCUCACGCUUGAAUACAUUAGCAUGGAAUAAUGAAAUAGGACGUUUGAUUCUAUUUUGUUGGUUUCUAGGAUCGACGUAAUGAUUAAUAGGGAUAGUUGGGGGCAUUAGUAUUCAAUUGUCAGAGGUGAAAUUCUUGGAUUUAUUGAAGACUGACUACUGCGAAAGCAUUUGCCAAGGAUGUUUUCAUUAAUCAAGAACGAAAGUUAGGGGAUCGAAGACGAUCAGAUACCGUCGUAGUCUUAACCAUAAACUAUGCCGACUAGGGAUCGGAUGAUGUUAAUUUUUUAAUGACUCAUUCGGCGCCUUACG